GAUCCAUGGUCGGCCCAAAAGCAGGUUAAAGGAUGUAGGAAUCCUCAAAACCUGGAAUACAGCGACAAAAGUGGCUGGACCGAUCAGCAGCUCGAUCUCCAAUGUACCCAUGACCUCCCUCCGAGUACUGUCAUAUGCGCGAACGGUCUGAGUAGAGGGACCAAAAUCAGAAGGAGCGUAUCCAAGGGCGAUGGCAGUGGCAAGAGGACAUACGUUCAGGGCCGAGCCAUUGUCCAAAAGGACAGAUGGGACUCGGCGGCCUGAACAACCAACAGAUAUGUAGAGCGGGCGAGUGUGGUCUG
rnacentral:lncRNA from 1 species